rnacentral:lncRNA from 1 species
AUGCAGCCCUGCCACAGAGCGCUGCUGUUUAGCCAUUGUUUAAAAUGUCACGUAGUCAAAACGCCCACUUUUCAAAGGUCUCCUCAGGGCAUGACGGGAGGAGAUCAAGUGUCUGGCAGCGAGGACGCAGCUGGGACAGACAGGAGCACGAACACACAGCUACCCGCACUGGGGUAUCGAUGGGCACGCAGCCAGCACUGCCGUCGUGCAGCUCCCCUUCUCGGCAAGGAAGGAUGCCAGGCAUUUGAGAGCAGCCUACGAAGAAAAGCACGAGAGGUGACACAGAAAUCCCAGCUGAUUCAGUUCCUGGCAGUGGUGGUGAAACACACAUCGCACCUGCCCUUUCAUUUCUGCUGAUUCCCGAGUGACUGCCCGUGCCCUUGAGCAGCAGUCCGCAGAACAAAGCACGCGCCCAAUUCAGCAGCGUUCCCUGGAAGAGGGCCUGGGGAAACCUCCUUCUACAAUUGGCUUGCUGUUCUGAGAAACCUGUCUUCUAGCCAUCAUUAAAACGCUUCGUAUUAAAACAGCCAAAAUGCACGAGCCUGAAAAAUUCACCUAAAUACGUCUGCUAAUAAAGCGGCAAGGUACCCUCA